rnacentral:tRNA from 3 species
GGCCGCUAUGGUGAAAUUGGUAGACACG